AUACAGAGGGUGCAAGCGUUAAUCGGAAUUACUGGGCGUAAAGCGCGCGUAGGCGGUUUGUUAAGUUGGAUGUGAAAGCCCCGGGCUUAACCUGGGAGGGUCAUUCAAAACUGGCAGACUAGAGUGUGGUAGAGGGUAGUGGAAUUCCUAGUGUAGCGGUGAAAUGCGUAGAGAUUAGGAGGAACACCAGUGGCGAAGGCGACUGCCUGGACCAACACUGACGCUGAGGUGCGAAAGCGUGGGUAGCGAACAGGAUUAGAUACCCCAGUAGUCC
rnacentral:rRNA from 1 species